rnacentral:rRNA from 1 species
AGCGGCGGACGGGUGAGUAACACGUGGGCAACCUGCCUGUAAGACUGGGAUAACUUCGGGAAACCGGAGCUAAUACCGGAUAAUCCUUUUCCUCUCAUGAGGGAAAGCUGAAAGAUGGCUUCGGCUAUCACUUACAGAUGGGCCCGCGGCGCAUUAGCUAGUUGGUGAGGUAACGGCUCACCAAGGCGACGAUGCGUAGCCGACCUGAGAGGGUGAUCGGCCACACUGGGACUGAGACACGGCCCAG